rnacentral:rRNA from 1 species
AGAGUUUGAUUAUGGCUCAGAUUGAACGCUGGCGGCAGGCCUAACACAUGCAAGUCGAGCGGCUGCACAAGGGAGUUUACUUCUGAUGUGGCAAGCGGCGGACGGGUGACUAAUGCCUAUGGAUCUGCCCAGUCGUAGGGGGAUGACAAUUGGACCCGACUGCUGAUACCGCCCACCCCCUACGGGGGAAAGGACGGGACCUUCCGGCCUUCCACAAUUGGAUGAACCUAGGUGGGAUUAUCUAGAUGGUGAGGCAAUGGCUCACCAAGGCGACGAUCCCUAGCUGUUCUGAGAGGAUGAUCAGCCACACUGGGACUGAGACACGGCCCCGACUCCUACCGGAGGCAGCGCUGGGAAACAUUGCGCAGUGGGCGAAACCCUGAUGCGCCCAUGCCGCGAGUGUGAGAAACGCCUUCGGGUUGUGAAUCACUUUCGCCAUGGAGGAAAGGGUGUAUCUUAAUACGCUAUAUCUGUGACGUUACCUACAGAAUAAGGACCGGCUAACUCCGCGCCAGCAGCCGCGGGAAUACUGAGGGCCCGAGCGUUAAUCAGAAUUACUGGACGUAGCGCGUGCGCAAGCUGUUUGUUAAGCGAGAUGCGAAAACCCUGCGCUCAACCUACGAAUAGCAUUUCGAACUGGCGAACUAGAGUCUUGUAGAGGGGGGUAAACUUCCAGGUGUAGCAGUGAAAUGCAUAUACAUCUGGAGCGAUACCGGUGGCGAAUGCGGCCCCCUGGACAGAGACUGACGCUCAUGCACGAAAGCGUGGGGAGCAAACAGGAUUAGAUACCCUGGUAGUCCACGCCGUAAACGAUGUCUACUCGGAGUUUGGUGUCUUGAACACUGGGCUCUCAAGCUAACGCAUUAAGUAGACCGCCUGGGGAGUACGGCCGCAAGGUUAAAACUCAAAUGAAUUGACGGGGGCCCGCACAAGCGGUGGAGCAUGUGGUUUAAUUCGAUGCAACGCGAAGAACCUUACCUACUCUUGACAUCCACAGAACUUUCCAGAGAUGGUUUGGUGCCUUCGGGAACUGUGAGACAGGUGCUGCAUGGCUGUCGUCAGCUCGUGUUGUGAAAUGUUGGGUUAAGUCCCGCAACGAGCGCAACCCCUAUCCUUAUUUGCCAGCACGUAAUGGUGGGAACUCUAGGGAGACUGCCGGUGAUAAACCGGAGGAAGGUGGGGACGACGUCAAGUCAUCAUGGCCCUUACGAGUAGGGCUACACACGUGCUACAAUGGCGAGUACAGAGGGUUGCAAAGCCGCGAGGUGGAGCUAAUCUCACAAAGCUCGUCGUAGUCCGGAUUGGAGUCUGCAACUCGACUCCAUGAAGUCGGAAUCGCUAGUAAUCGUGGAUCAGAAUGCCACGGUGAAUACGUUCCCGGGCCUUGUACACACCGCCCGUCACACCAUGGGAGUGGGCUGCAAAAGAAGUGGGUAGCUUAACCUUCGGGGGGGCGCUCACCACUUUGUGGUUCAUGACUGGGGUGAAGUCGUAACAAGGUAACCG